ACUGUGGUAGAGGAAUACAACCCAUCCUGACUUAAUGACUUCUCAGGAGUAAACCCACUGAGUACUAUUGUCUUUCCCGGCGGGGUAAAUAAUGGACCCGCGGUUCUCCUUUCAGCGGGCAUUACGCGUUAUCUCCUGCCCUGUCCCUUGUUCGGAAAGCUCGCCCGUGCAAGUCCAAUGUUUGCAUUUGUUAACAGCUGAAAAGCAACACCCAACCGCCUUAAGGUUUGCAAAAAAGGGCGAAAAGCGAGGGUAGCUGCUGGCUUAUUCAGCAGUGGGGUGGGGGGGGGAAGGAGGAGAAAGCCCUCUGCACAGGCUCAGGGGCAAUUCAGUCUCCCGCCAAGGGGCGGGUGUGACAGAAACUGGCUGCCUCGCUUCCGCAACUGCCCCAAUAAACGCUAUCUCCAAAUCAAUCUGGUUGUUUUUCUUCCUUGCGCAUGCGUGUAGGAACCGGCGGAGGGCGCUGCGCGUCCCCUCUGGAGAACGCGAGGGAUACUAGUAGCAUCCAAAGCUGCCGGAGGGAUCCGCCAUCCGCACGCGGCCUGUUUCUUGAGCGGAAAGGAAGCUGGGGGAGAGCGGGAAGGAAAGCCACCCCUUCUUCCCGCGCCCUGAUCCCCAAUUUGUCGGCGGGGCAGACCAAGUGGCGCUUCCCCCAGCCUAAGCCGCAAAGAAGGCAAAUAUAUUUUCCCCUGGGCGUUGCUCGGAAAGCAGCCUGCAGGUCCCGUUUACGGUGCAAGAAACCUGCCUUGAUAAACGCUAGAUAAGGUAACCCCGGGGCAUGCCAAGCCAACACCCACAGAAGAGACACUGAGGUCAUCUCCUCAUUUAUGACCAGCUAAAUCUUCCAAGAAGAAAUGACUGGGAGGCAGGAUGGGGACAGACCAAAGAGGAGCUGUGCAAA